UCCAAUCUUGGUCGGCGAAUGGGUUUAU
rnacentral:sRNA from 1 species